rnacentral:rRNA from 1 species
GUUAGCGGCGGACGGGUGAGUAACACGUGGGUAACCUACCUAUAAGACUGGGAUAACUUCGGGAAACCGGAGCUAAUACCGGAUAAUAUUUCGAACCGCAUGGUUCGAUAGUGAAAGAUGGUUUUGCUAUCACUUAUAGAUGGACCCGCGCCGUAUUAGCUAGUUGGUAAGGUAACGGCUUACCAAGGCGACGAUACGUAGCCGACCUGAGAGGGUGAUCGGCCACACUGGAACUGAGACACGGUCCAGACUCCUACGGGAGGCAGCAGUAGGGAAUCUUCCGCAAUGGGCGAAAGCCUGACGGAGCAACGCCGCGUGAGUGAUGAAGGUCUUCGGAUCGUAAAACUCUGUUAUUAGGGAAGAACAUACGUGUAAGUAACUAUGCACGUCUUGACGGUACCUAAUCAGAAAGCCACGGCUAACUACGUGCCAGCAGCCGCGGUAAUACGU